GCCGGGCUAGCUCAAUCGGUAGAGCGUGAGACUCUUAGUCAUCGCGGCAUCUCAAGGCUGCGGGUUCGACCCCCGCGUUCGGCU
rnacentral:tRNA from 1 species